GCUUGUUGGUAGAGCAUGGUGUUUGCAACACCAGGGUUGUGGGUUCGAUUCCCAC
rnacentral:tRNA from 1 species